AUGAUUGCAUAUUAUAUAGGAAUGAGAAUGAAGUUUUGAUAAAGUGUCCAAAAUGUGGGUUAUCACGAUACAAGUCGAAAAACGGUGAAGAAGGUGGCAUCACAGAAAAGAAUGGUUCUGCUUUGAAAGUAGUUUGGUACCUUCCACUAGUUGCCAGACUUAAGCGUUUGUUUGCGAAUCCCAAAGACGCUAAAAACCUAAGAUGGCAUGCAGAUGAGAGAACAACUGAUGGGAUGCUUCGUCAUCCGGCUGAUUCCAAGCAAUGGAAAAUUAUUGAUCAAGAAUUCCCCCAAUUUGGUGAAGAAUGUAGAAAUCUUAGGUUUGGCUUAGCUACUGAUGGAAUGAAUCCAUUUGGUAAUUUAAGUACCAAUCACAGUUGUUGGCCAGUUAUCCUGAUAAUUUACAACUUAUCUCCUGGAUUGUGCAUGAAAAGAAAGUACAUGAUGUUGUCAAUGUUGAUAUCUGGUCCAAAGCAGCCUGGAAAUGACAUCGAUGUUUAUCUAAGGCCACUAGUUGAAGACUUGAAGUUGUUGUGGGUUGAUGGGGUUGAAAUAUUUGAUGCCUUUGCUUCAGAAACUUUCAUGAUGCAUGCCAUGUUAUUUUGCACCAUUAAUGACUUCCCAACUUAUGGUAAUUUGUCGGGGUACAGUGUGAAGGGUCAUAAAGCAUGUCCUAUUUGUGAAGAAAACACUGCAGCUCAACAAUUAAAACACGGAAGGAAGACAGUGUAUAUGCGUCAUCGGCGAUUUUUACAAUCUAAUCAUCCAUAUCGAAGGUUAAAGAAAGCAUUCAAUGGAGAACAAGAGAAAGACAAUGCACCCAUUCCACUUACUGGACUUGAAGUUGUUGAGAAAGUUAAUAAAGUACAUCAUCAAUUUGGAAAACGUCGAAGAAGUCUUCUGUAGCGACCCCUUGGAAGAAGAAAUCAAUAUUCUUUGAUCUUCCAUAUUGGUCAAAGUUAGAUGUUAGACAUUGCAUAGAUGUCAUGCAUGUUGAGAAAAAUGUUUGUGAUAGCUUGAUUGGUACACUACUAAACAUCCAGGGAAAAACAAAUUUGAUGAUAUCCAGACAUACAUCACCACCUGCUUUGGAACGGGGAAGGAGAUAUAUUUUCUCCCUUAUAUACAUGGGUGUCAUUGGCAGCUACUUGUGAUCUCCGUACCGGAGAACACGGCUGUUUGGUUUUGUUCAUUGCAUAAGUCUCCUCCCAGCCCUCUUAGACAUGCAGUAGAUUGUUCCCUUGCAGCACAUAUGAUGUUAUCUGGGAGAUCUACUGCUAUAGCUAAAAAGCUUGCAUGGGUUUCUCUUAAGUGUAAUAGACAAAUGGGGUCAUACGAAUGUGGUUACUACGUUAUGUUUUGGAUGAUGACCAUCAUUCGUGCACAUUACACCACUGGAUGGGAAACGAGAUUUAAUAGGACUGCUCCAAUUCCAGAGAAGUCAAUCCAACUUGUGAGGAAAACACUUGCAAGAUAUGUAAUUCAUUUAUAUAAUAGUAUGUAGUAGUAGA